rnacentral:rRNA from 1 species
GUUUGAUUCUGGCUCAGGAUGAACGCUAGCUACAGGCUUAACACAUGCAAGUCGAGGGGCAGCAUGAUCGAAGCUUGCUUGAUUGAUGGCGACCGGCGCACGGGUGAGUAACGCGUAUCCAACCUUCCCUAUAGUAGAGGAUAGCCCGGCGAAAGUCGGAUUAAUACUCUAUGUUUUCCAAUGAGGACAUCUGAGCUGGAACAAAGGUUUACCGCUAUAGGAUGGGGAUGCGUCUGAUUAGGUUGUUGGCGGGGUAACGGCCCACCAAGCCUACGAUCAGUAGGGGUUCUGAGAGGAAGGUCCCCCACAUUGGAACUGAGACACGGUCCAAACUCCUACGGGAGGCAGCAGUGAGGAAUAUUGGUCAAUGGGCGAGAGCCUGAACCAGCCAAGUAGCGUGCAGGAUGACGGCCCUAUGGGUUGUAAACUGCUUUUAUACAGGGAUAAAGUGCGCCACGUGUGGCGUUUUGUAGGUACUGUAUGAAUAAGGACCGGCUAAUUCCGUGCCAGCAGCGGC